rnacentral:lncRNA from 1 species
AGUGCCUGAGCACGCCAUCCUCCUGUACCCUACUCCAUUACGAUGUGAUUCCUUCGUGUUAAAACUGUGUACCUUGCCCUACUAACUUUGGAUCUGGCCAAUGGAAUAUAAGGAGAUUUGACCUGUGCUGCUGUGAUUAACAGACAUCAGAGGCAUGGAAGAAAAACAACAGUAACUAGAUGAAGCAAGGACCACCCUUCUGGACAACAAAGGGAGAGGAAUGAAAGUCUGACCUAGGAAAAGAACUUUGAGAUGAAAUCUUCAGGAAAAGGGGAAGAGGGUAUUAAGAGAAGAAGAGAACCAAAGAAGAAAACUCGCUCGGGCCUUUUGAAGACCAGGACUGUGAAGCCUCUUUUCUAGGCAGGGAACUGGAUAUAGUGAUACCUUCUCUUCCUCCAACACUAAACUACUCUUUUGAGAUCCCACUGUCAGGAAAGAUUGCGAAAGACUUCAAAGUGGGCAGAAAAGA